UGAGGUAGGUGUUCUUCCCUUUUCUGGUGU
rnacentral:piRNA from 1 species